rnacentral:rRNA from 1 species
UACAGAGGUCCCGAGCGUUGUUCGGAUUCACUGGGCGUAAAGGGUGCGUAGGUGGUGGGGUAAGUCUCGUGUGAAAGCUCGCAGCUUAACUGCGAAAAGUCACGGGAUACUAUUCUGCUGGAGGCUUGGAGGGGGACUGGAAUACUUGGUGUAGCAGUGAAAUGCGUAGAUAUCAAGUGGAACACCAGUGGCGAAGGCGAGUCCCUGGACAAGACCUGACACUGAGGCACGAAAGCCAGGGGAGCAAACAGGA